rnacentral:rRNA from 1 species
ACGAACGCUGGCGGCACGCUUAACACAUGCAAGUCGAACGAGAGAAGAGAAGCUUGCUUUUCUGAUCUAGUGGCGGACGGGUGAGUAACACGUGAGCAAUCUGCCUUUCAGAGGGGGAUACCGAUUGGAAACGAUCGUUAAUACCGCAUAAUAUAAUUGAACCGCAUGAUUUGAUUAUCAAAGAUUUAUCGCUGAAAGAUGAGCUCGCGUCUGAUUAGCUAGUUGGUAAGGUAACGGCUUACCAAGGCGACGAUCAGUAGCCGGACUGAGAGGUUGAUCGGCCACAUUGGGACUGAGACACGGCCCAGACUCCUACGGGAGGCAGCAGUGGGGAAUAUUGCACAAUGGAGGAAACUCUGAUGCAGCGAUGCCGCGUGAGGGAAGAAGGUUUUAGGAUUGUAAACCUCUGUCUUCAGGGACGAAAAAAGACGGUACCUGAGGAGGAAGCUCCGGCUAACUACGUGCCAGCAGCCGCGGUAAUACGUAGGGAGCGAGCGUUGUCCGGAAUUACUGGGUGUAAAGGGAGCGUAGGCGGGAUCGCAAGUCAGAUGUGAAAACUAUGGGCUUAACCCAUAAACUGCAUUUGAAACUGUGGUUCUUGAGUGAAGUAGAGGUAAGCGGAAUUCCUAGUGUAGCGGUGAAAUGCGUAGAUAUUAGGAGGAACAUCAGUGGCGAAGGCGGCUUACUGGGCUUUAACUGACGCUGAGGCUCGAAAGCGUGGGGAGCAAACAGGAUUAGAUACCCUGGUAGUCCACGCCGUAAACGAUGAUUACUAGGUGUGGGGGGACUGACCCCUUCCGUGCCGCAGCAAACGCAAUAAGUAAUCCACCUGGGGAGUACGACCGCAAGGUUGAAACCCAAAGGAAUUGACGGGGGCCCGCACAAGCAGUGGAGUAUGUGGAUUAAUUCGAAGCAACGCGAAGAACCUUACCAGGUCUUGACAUCGUAUGCAUAGCUCAGAGAUGAGUGAAAUCUCUUCGGAGACAUAUAGACAGGUGGUGCAUGGUUGUCGUCAGCUCGUGUCGUGAGAUGUUGGGUUAAGUCCCGCAACGAGCGCAACCCUUACUGUUAGUUGCUACGCAAGAGCACUCUAGCAGGACUGCCGUUGACAAAACGGAGGAAGGUGGGGAUGACGUCAAAUCAUCAUGCCCCUUAUGACCUGGGCCUCACACGUACUACAAUGGCUGUUAACAGAGGGAUGCAAAGCCGCGAGGUGGAGCGAACCCCUAAAAGCAGUCUUAGUUCGGAUUGUAGGCUGCAACCCGCCUACAUGAAGUCGGAAUUGCUAGUAAUCGCAGAUCAGCAUGCUGCGGUGAAUACGUUCCCGGGCCUUGUACACACCGCCCGUCACGCCAUGGGAGUCGGUAACACCCGAAGCCUGUAGUCUAACCGCAAGGAGGACGCAGUCGAAGGUGGGAUUGAUGACUGGGGUG